UACGUAGGGUGCAAGCGUUGUCCGGAAUCAUUGGGCGUAAAGAGCGCGUAGGCGGCUAGAUAAGUCCGGUGUGAAAGUCACAGGCUCAACCUGUGAAUGCCGCUGGAAACUGUCUGGCUAGAGUCCGGAAGGGGCGAGUGGAAUUCCUGGUGUAGCGGUGAAAUGCGCAGAUAUCAGGAGGAACACCUAUUGCGAAGGCAGCUCGCUGGGACGUAACUGACGCUGAGACGCGAAAGCGUGGGGAGCAAACAGG
rnacentral:rRNA from 1 species